rnacentral:rRNA from 1 species
CCCAGACUCCUACGGGAGGCAGCAGUGGGGAAUAUUGCACAAUGGGGGAAACCCUGAUGCAGCGACGCCGCGUGAGCGAUGAAGUAUUUCGGUAUGUAAAGCUCUAUCAGCAGGGAAGAAAAUGACGGUACCUGACUAAGAAGCCCCGGCUAACUACGUGCCAGCAGCCGCGGUAAUACGUAGGGGGCAAGCGUUAUCCGGAUUUACUGGGUGUAAAGGGAGCGUAGACGGUCCUGCAAGCCAGAUGUGAAGGCCCGGGGCUCAACCCCGGGACUGCAUUUGGAACUGUAAGGCUAGAGUGUCGGAGAGGCAGGCGGAAUUCCUAGUGUAGCGGUGAAAUGCGUAGAUAUUAGGAGGAACACCGGCGGCGAAGGCGGCCUGCUGGACCGCGACUGACGUUGAGGCUCGAGAGCGUGGGGAGCAAACAGGAUUAGAUACCCGAGUA